GACGUAGGGCGCGAGCGUUGUCCGGAUUUAUUGGGCGUAAAGAGCUCGUAGGCGGCUCAUUGCGUCAACCGUGAAAACCUGCCGCUCAACGGUAGGCUUGCGGUUGAUACGGGUGGGCUGGAGUUCGGUAGGGGAGACUGGAAUUCCUGGCGUAGCGGUGAAAUGCGCAGAUAUCAGGAGGAACACCGGUGGCGAAGGCGGGUCUCUGGGCCGAUACUGACGCUGAGGAGCGAAAGCGUGGGGAGCGAACGGG
rnacentral:rRNA from 1 species